rnacentral:snoRNA from 1 species
UGUGCACACAAAACCCAAAGAUCGUUGUGUCCCCUGACGAUGAUCUUGUCUGUUGUGCAGAAAGUAAUCGCACCUUGUCGCCUUUCUUGAGCUGAAGUGCUCAUGGAAGUGAAACAGAAGGGGUGACACUC